rnacentral:rRNA from 1 species
UACGGAGGGUGCGAGCGUUGUCCGGAAUCACUGGGCGUAAAGGGCGCGUAGGUGGCGCGGGCAGUCAACGGUGAAAGUUCGGGGCUCAACCCUGAAUCGGCCGUCGAUACUCCCGAGCUGGAGCACUGUAGAGGCUCAUGGAAUUCCGGGUGGAGUGGUGAAAUGCGUAGAUAUCCGGAGGAAUACCAAAGGCGAAGGCAGUGUCCUGGGAGGUGUCUGACGCUCAGGUGCGAAAGCCAGGGGAGCGAACGGG